rnacentral:rRNA from 1 species
AGGGGGAUAACAGUUGGAAACGACUGCUAAUACCGCAUAAGCGCACAGUACCGCAUGGUACAGUGUGAAAAACUCCGGUGGUAUGAGAUGGACCCGCGUCUGAUUAGCUAGUUGGUGGGGUAACGGCCUACCAAGGCGACGAUCAGUAGCCGACCUGAGAGGGUGACCGGCCACAUUGGGACUGAGACACGGCCCAAACUCCUACGGGAGGCAGCAGUGGGGAAUAUUGCACAAUGGGGGAAACCCUGAUGCAGCAACGCCGCGUGAGUGAAGAAGUAUUUCGGUAUGUAAAGCUCUAUCAGCAGGGAAGAAAAUGACGGUACCUGACUAAGAAGCCCCGGCUAACUACGUGCCAGCAGCCGCGGUAAUACGUAGAGGGCAAGCGUUAUCCGGAUUUACUGGGUGUAAAGGGAGCGUAGACGGCGAGACAAGUCUGAAGUGAAAGCCCGGGGCUCAACCCCGGGACUGCUUUGGAAACUGCCUUGCUAGAGUGCUGGAGAGGUAAGUGGAAUUCCUAGUGUAGCGGUGAAAUGCGUAGAUAUUAGGAGGAACACCAGUGGCGAAGGCGGCUUACUGGACAGUAACUGACGUUGAGGCUCGAAAGCGUGGGGAGCAAAC